AGGACCCUAUGAGCCCAAAGUACCAACUGAGGGAGGUAUAUCGUCGUCAUUACGUGUCCAGAGCCCAGAAGAGGGAAGGAGGAAGUCCAGAGAUCUGCACAGAUGAAGGCAUCGCAGGUGGUCCACAUUACCUGGUUGACAAGAUGAGUCGUAAACUGUGUGGGAUGUGUUUUGGAAACUUUGUGAACUUGAAGCAACACCUUACAGUGUCACACACUAUUCCAAAUAAACAGGAG